AAAUAAAGGAAGGGAUAAAGGCGUCUUUGGCAGUUGAUCAUUCUUGAAAAUAAAAAUAAAGAAACAAAAAGUAAAAUGAUCAACUGCCAAAGACGCCUUUAUCCCUUCCUUUAAAA
rnacentral:miRNA from 1 species